UUGAAUAAGAUUUGAACAGGUUGUUGCUGGCCAUUUUUUUAAUGGUAUGUGCACACUUGGACACUUUAUUUCUCCAACUUGUGCAUUAUAUAUAUGGGAACUGCUGUGCUUUUAUGUAGUUCGGCUUUUCCUGUUUUUUUAUACAAUCACAUUUGAAAUAAGAAUAUAAAAUGAAAUAUAAUAUA
rnacentral:misc_RNA from 1 species